rnacentral:rRNA from 1 species
AUUGAACGCUGGCGGCAGGCCUAACACAUGCAAGUCGAACGGUAACAGGAAGAAGCUUGCUUCUUUGCUGACGAGUGGCGGACGGGUGAGUAAUGUCUGGGAAACUGCCUGAUGGAGGGGGAUAACUACUGGAAACGGUAGCUAAUACCGCAUAACGUCGCAAGACCAAAGAGGGGGACCUUCGGGCCUCUUGCCAUCGGAUGUGCCCAGAUGGGAUUAGCUAGUAGGUGGGGUAACGGCUCACCUAGGCGACGAUCCCUAGCUGGUCUGAGAGGAUGACCGGCCACACUGGAACUGAGACACGGUCCAGACUCCUACGGGAGGCAGCAGUGGGGAAUAUUGCACAAAGGGCGCAAGCCUGAUGCAGCCAUGCCGCGUGUAUGAAGAAGGCCUUCGGGUUGUAAAGUACUUUCAGCGGGGAGGAAGGGAGUAAAGUUAAUACCUUUACUCAUUGACGUUACCCGCAGAAGAAGCACCGGCUAACUCCGUG